CAGUAGCCGCGGUAACACGUAGGGUGCAAGCGUUAAUCGGAAUUACUGGGCGUAAAGCGUGCGCAGGCGGUUAUAUAAGACAGAUGUGAAAUCCCCGGGCUCAACCUGGGAACUGCAUUUGUGACUGUAUAGCUAGAGUACGGCAGAGGGGGAUGGAAUUCCGCGUGUAGCAGUGAAAUGCGUAGAUAUGCGGAGGAACACCGAAGGCGAAGGCAAUCCCCUGGGCCUGUACUGACGCUCAUGCACGAAAGCGUGGGGAGCAAACAGGAUUAGAUACCCCUGUAGUCCCUGUCUCUUAUAC
rnacentral:rRNA from 1 species